CAGUAGCCGCGGUAAUACGAAGGGGGCUAGCGUUGUUCGGAUUUACUGGGCGUAAAGGGUGCGUAGGCGGACUGAUAAGUCAGGGGUGAAAUCCCAAGGCUCAACCUUGGAACUGCCUUUGAUACUGUUAGUCUUGAGUUCGAGAGAGGUGAGUGGAACUGCGAGUGUAGAGGUGAAAUUCGUAGAUAUUCGCAAGAACACCAGUGGCGAAGGCGGCUCACUGGCUCGAAACUGACGCUGAGGCACGAAAGCGUGGGGAGCAAACAGGAUUAGAUACCCCAGUAGUCCCUGUCUCUUAUAC
rnacentral:rRNA from 1 species